AGGGUGCUUGCACCUGAUUCCUAGCGGCGGACGGGUGAGUAAUGCUUAGGAAUCUGCCUAUUAGUGGGGGACAACGUUCCGAAAGGGACGCUAAUACCGCAUACGUCCUACGGGAGAAAGCAGGGGAUCUUCGGACCUUGCGCUAAUAGAUGAGCCUAAGUCGGAUUAGCUAGUUGGUGGGGUAAAGGCCUACCAAGGCGACGAUCUGUAGCGGGUCUGAGAGGAUGAUCCGCCACACUGGGACUGAGACACGGCCCAGACUCCUACGGGAGGCAGCAGUGGGGAAUAUUGGACAAUGGGGGGAACCCUGAUCCAGCCAUGCCGCGUGUGUGAAGAAGGCCUUUUGGUUGUAAAGCACUUUAAGCGAGGAGGAGGCUUACCUGGUUAAUACCUGGGAUAAGUGGACGUUACUCGCAGAAUAAGCACCGGCUAACUCUGUGCCAGCAGCCGCGGUAAUACAGAGGGUGCAAGCGUUAAUCGGAUUUACUGGGCGUAAAGCGCGCGUAGGUGGCUAAUUAAGUCAAAUGUGAAAUCCCCGAGCUUAACUUGGGAAUUGCAUUCGAUACUGGUUAGCUAGAGUAUGGGAGAGGAUGGUAGAAUUCCAGGUGUAGCGGUGAAAUGCGUAGAGAUCUGGAGGAAUACCGAUGGCGAAGGCAGCCAUCUGGCCUAAUACUGACACUGAGGUGCGAAAGCAUGGGGAGCAAACAGGAUUAGAUACCCUGGUAGUCCAUGCCGUAAACGAUGUCUACUAGCCGUUGGGGCCCUUGAGGCUUUAGUGGCGCAGCUAA
rnacentral:rRNA from 1 species